rnacentral:rRNA from 1 species
UACGUAGGGUGCAAGCGUUGUCCGGAAUUAUUGGGCGUAAAGAGCUCGUAGGCGGUUUGUGCGGUGGCUGUGAAAUCCCCGGGGCUUAACCUGGGAAUGGCAUUUGGGACUGCAAAGGCUUGAGUGCGCAGAGGAGACGUGGAAUUCCUGGUGUAGGCAGUGAAAGUGCGUAGAUAUCCAGGGAGGGAACACCGAUGGCGAAGGCAGGUCUCUGGGCUGACACUGACGCUCAUGCACGAAAGCGUGGGGGAGCAACAGG